AAACAAUGAGAAGACAAGCUAAGAGAGAGAGAGAGGGAGAGGGAGAGAUCUAGGUUAUAAUGGGGCGACGGAAGAGCAAACCUGAACAAGGUCGCAGUCGCAGAGAAGAGAGGCGCAAGAACAAAAUUGAUUACAGAUAGCGACAACUCGGAAAACCCUAGAUCCAGAUCAAGGUCUGGGUCGUGAAUGAUGACGAAGAUGAUCGUAGUGGCUUGAAACUACUCGGAAUUGGGCUUUUGGUGUUAGUUGGCAGCCCAUAUUCAUCUUUAGGGUCCAUUAACUAAGACGUCAUCGUUUUUGGAGCAUCGUCUCCUUCCUUCCCCUUUGUCUGAAAUCAGCAAAACGGAACAGAGGAGUGAGCGACUGAUUAAAGAAUCGUUGAAGCAUUAUAAUGGCGACGAGAGAGCAAACAAGUAAGAUAGAGAGAGCACAAUCGUCGCCAACGUGCUUGCGUAAGGUACACAAUAUCUCCAUAAAGCUGCAGGUUGAAAGGAAAGAGCAAGUUGAGGCGCUGUCAAAAAGAGUUGUCUCAUCGUGCGGUUGUGCCAGGAUGUACAAGGAUGGUAGCAUCAUUCCAUUAGAUGAUUCUUUGGGUUUUGCUGCAAAUUAUUCACACAUGCUGGGAUAUGGUAGUCCCCAGAUGAAAGAGCUCAUGAGGCUUUAUGUCACCAUCCACAGGUUCCGAGCCAGCCAAGCAAUGGCCCCUAUCUUGAAGGAGAUUCUGCCGUGAUCCAAGUUUUUUUUGUUUGUUCCCUUGGACCAGGAAUUUUGGGCAAUUAUCUUCGAUGGAGUUCAGGAGCCCUUUGAAGAACUAUUGCCAGAAUAUCCGGUUCGGUGAUGUGUAUAUCCCUCGGGGGUGUUUAUGUCCCAGCUCUUGACAAAGAUUGUCCCUGGCACUAGUUCCCAGCCCAAUAUAUUCUGUCAGAGGGAGGCUCAAUAACUGGGUGGUGACUUGUAAGCAGCUGGAUUCACAGUUAAUGAUCCUGUUCACACAAUGUUGCCACUUUCUCUGGAGCUUGGACCAGGAAUUUUUGGGAAAUUAUCUUCGAUGGAGUUCAUAAGGCCUUUGAAGACUAUUAUCCGGUGAUGUCUACAUCCCUCAUGGUGUGUCUGUCCCAGCUCUUGAAAAAUAUUGUCCUUGGGAGUUCUAGCUCAUGAUGAUGGUUCGAAUCUACUACUCAAAAAAUGGGAUAACAAUGAAAAGCAUUUGAGGCCUGAGAAGGAGUUACUUCAUUUCAGCUUCGUCAAAGUCUUCGUGCAGUUCAGCUACAGUUCUGCCACAGUGGGAUAUCUUCACAUAUGAUGUCUCAUGGUAACAAGUAUUUAUUUUGGAGAGCCAAGGGAAAUGCGCAUAAAGACCAAUGAAAAUGGUGAAGAAGUUGGGUUUAAUACUGUUUAUGCUACCCACUAGUAAUCUCGGGGAUGCCGAUGUCGGAGCAUAUAUAAAACAAGGAGAACAUUUUUCUUGCCCAAACAACCACUGCUGUUUUCUCAGGGAAACAAGUCGAUGAACCUUAAGAAAAGCAUCAAACUGCUAGAAAGAUAGCUAGUCUAUUGAAGAAUCCACUUUACACUCAGGCCAAAAAAAACCAGCUACAGUUGUCUCAAGCCAAAUGCAUCAGUCAUCAACGAAAUGUGCAAAAGGGAAACGAGUGUUGAAAACAUAGCACUACCAAAUCGAUUAUGGAAAGUCAAGCACCAAAAUGCAAAAGCUAGAUGAUGCAAAAUCAAGGAAAGUAAGCCAAAUUGUUACAAAAUCAGAUUGAUUCACUCUAACUAUGGUGGCGACGAAGAGAGAGGGAGAAUUAGGGUUCCUGGAGCUUCGAACUCAAACCCCCAUGGGUUCCUCCUUAUCUACCUAUCUAUGGGUCCAAGUUCUCGGUUCCGAGCCAGCAGCCUUGUUAGUCUUCUUCAAUCGGCUCUUACUUAACUCCUUUCUAAACCAGAGGAUCUUCGAAAUCUUGGUGUUGGUUUUAUGGGAUCACAGGAAGCCUUUGAAGGACUAUUGCCAGAAUAUCCGGUCCGGUGAUGUGUACAUCCCUCGGGGGUGUUUCUAUCCUAGCUCUUGACAAAGAUUGUCCUUGGGACUAGUUCCCAACCCAAACAAUUUUGUCAGAGGGAGACACAGUAACGGGUGGUGACUUGUAAGUUUAUUGGUUUACUAGGAAGCAGCUGGAUUCACAGUUACUGAUCCUGUUCACACAACGUUGGAGGCCUUAUUAUACGGUGAUGUCUACAUCCCUCAGAGUGUGUCUGUCUCAGCGCUUGAAAUAUAUUGUCCAGCCCAACAAAUCUAUUCUGUUGUCCCAGCGCUGUUGUGUAUGUUGGUUGUGGAGAGAUUAAGUGAAUUGGCUGAGGAGAUGGCCUUGUUAGCCUUCAAUCGGGCUCUUAAGCUUAUUUUUACAUCUUCUCAUAUAAUUUGGAUUAUCCGGUUCUUUGGUGUGGGUUUUACGGGAUAUUUGGCAACUUCUCUCGUCCAAAGCCUGGCGUGGUGGUUAUGCAGCUUUUGCUUUUUCAGGCUGGUAACUUCUUUCCCCCUUUAAUAUUUAUUUGGUCAUGCUUUUGAAUUUUUACUGGCUCACAAAUUAUUCAGCUCGAUAAGUCCCCAAGCUUUAUGAAGUGUUCUCCUAUAUUCUAAAUGAGCUGGGAAAGGUCAAGAACCACCCGUGGCCUAACGUUGAUGCUCAUAACGGAGUGUUGCUGAAAUAUCGGCUAACCGAAAGAAAGAUGCUACACUGUGCUUUUUUGGCUGUCUCAAGGAAUCUCAUCAUCUGCUCACAGCUGAUAUGGCCAUAUGGGACUGGGCUCUUGGACUGCAACUAGAGCGGCCAAAGAGUGUAAACAUGGAGAGGUUACAUGUCCUCCAAAAGGUGAAACUUUGCAACUUCGAUGGGCUCUUAAGCUCCUCUCUAAACCACCAGAGGGAAACGAGUGUCACAAACAUAGAUGCUGGCUAGCUCUACCAAUCCAUGAAUCAGACCAUGAGCAACGUCCAAGACGAAGAAGAAGAAGAAGAACCCUCCAGGAUAAAGAGCCGUGUUAGAACCAGUAGCUACAACACACAAAGCAAGCCUCAGAAAAUAACAAUUUACUCCUACCAAAGCAAGCACAGAGGUCAACAACAAGGCCAGUAAUCUAUGAGAUGCGGACGUCUGAGCAGAUAUAAAACAAGGACAGAGGUCAACAUCAAGGCCAGUAAUCUCAGGGAUGCGGAUGUCAGAGCAGAUAUAAAACAAGGAGACCAUUUCUUGCCUAAACCACCACUGCAGUUUCCUCAGGGAGACAAGUCGAUGGACUUUAAUAAAAGCAUAUGCUGGAAAGAUAGCUAGUCUUCUGAGGAAUCCAUUCUGCACUCAGGCCAAAGAAGUCAGCCACAGUUGUCUCAAGCCAAACGCAGUCAUCAGCAAAAUGUGUAAAGGGAAACGAGUGUUAAAAACACUGAUUAUGGAAAGUCAUGCCAUCAACAACAAGUCAGAGAAGAGAGGUAUCUUUUUUUCGUGUUUCUUCUAAAUCUAAGAUUUUGAUUUUCGUGUGAAUAUAGUUUUGUAUGUUGACGGGUUUUUGCGAUUCUGUGCGCGUGAUUUAUUGACUCUCUCUCGUUGAAUGUUUUUUGAAGAAUGAAGUAGAUUCAGAACAAAACUGUUGCCAGCUUUUUACGGUAAGAAUAUCAAACUGAUUCUGGUGAUUUCAUGGGUGAUGGUCUUCGCGACUUAACAGAUUGGAGAGUAUUUGCUAGUGUUUUAUUUAUCUGUCCUGAAGCAAAUGUUAGUCUUUACUAAUUCUGUUAUCUUGGUGGAAAUAUUUGGAGUUUAGGAUCUUUGUUAUUAGUUUGUGUCUCAUUACGCAUAUCACUUAUUGUUUGAUCUAUCUGAAAUGCUAUCUAUCUGGAUGCAAGUAAUUGUUAAAUCCAACCUGUUUUCGUCAGAACAGUGUUUGAGGUUUCGGUUUUACAGAUCCUUGUGUCGAUAUGGGUUACUAUAACAACGUAAGUGUCUUUUUGUUUUCUUUUGUAGCAGUAGCUCUACUACUUUUGAUUUCCAAGAUUUAAUGAGCUUUUGUAUAUUUGAGUGUUUAAUCAAAUAGCCAUUACUAACUGCAGAAUUGGUUAUUGGAAUCUUUAACUGCAGAAUUAGUUCCAGCCUAUCUUCCACAUGACCUCAAUCACUAAACUCAGCAUAUGGCUCUGAGCAUCUAUUGGAAUCUUUACCUCGUAAGAUGAAACAGUAAAAAGUUGGCUGAUAUAGUUAUCAAUCAUCGUGUUGGGACAACGAGAGGACAUGGUGGAUUGUAUAACCGUUAUGAUGGAACUUUCUUACCGUGGGAUGAACACGCCGUGACUUCUUGUACCGGAGGACUGGAAAGGUAUAAUCUGGUGGCUUCGUUGGCUGCGCAAAGCUGUUGGGUUUCAAGAUUUCCGUUUUGACUUUGCUAUGGGUUAUUCAGCAAACUAUGUGAAGGAAUACAUUGGAGCUUUUGUGAACCAUCCAGAAGGUCUUGUCACCUAUGAAUCUCAUGGAGAAGGAACAAAGGUAUUGCUGAGCAAGAUCUUAAAAAAAAAGGGAUGUAACUGCGCUACAUUCUUUUGUCUCCUGAGGUCAUUUCUCGUCAGGCUACUAUAAAUGAACCAUUGGACAUAUCGCUCAUGGAAAUUCCACUGUUGUGAAAGCUAUUUCUGGUGUGCAGACUGUUCGUUUUAAGAAUGAAUUGGAACAUUACCAUUAAGCUUGGAUAUGCAAAUGCCAAGAUUUACAAAUGCGAGGAUGAGAAAUGGCCUAGACCAAUGUGCUACAAGUGAGUCCUUUCUUGCAAGAGUGUUUUUCUAUCUUCUUCUUCUACUAUAAGCUUUGUGUCGAAGUCUUAACAAUUUGAGACAGAGAAGUAAAGAAAGAGUACUUUUUGAUCUUGCUGUAGUAGGAGAUGUGUUUCUUUUAUUGCCUUAGUGGACAUCAGAAUUGGCUAGCUUGAAGGGCUAGAGAAUGGCGUCAAGCAUAUGUAUCUCUAUUGAAGUGCUCAUUUGGUCUUAAUUUUGAUGGUCAAUUGAAUUCAACUUAUUUGGUUCACUUAUUAGAUUGGUUUGGUUGAUAAUAAGUGUUCAUCGUGAUGAUGCAACGGAUACUCUCUCCCUUCAACAUGUAAUCAAAUGCCUUGUUGAUCU